AUAGUAAUGGCCCUGCAAGGUGUUCCACAAAGGGCCAAAUGGCCAAUGGACAGCACAAGAGGAUGAUCAGCUAUGUAACGCUGUUCAGCGCUUCAAAGGCACAAACCAGAGAAAGAUCGGUAUCUUUCUUCAUCAAUAAUGUUUUAAGUUUAUGUUUAUGCUUACGGGAUUUUAUAAUAUCGUGUUUAUGUGUAGGUUUUGAAAAAAGUUCUCCCUGUUAGAAUGUAAAUAUAGAGUUAGGCCCAAAUACUGUAAGUCAUAAGGUUUGCCAAACGUGGUGAUUGUAUUAUAAUUCAAGGAUUUAAACGGGUCAUACCUUUUUGGUUAUUGCAAGUCAUAAGAUUUGCCAAGAUUUCAAUAUGUAUCUCACGGUUUUUGUCUUGCCUUCUUGGUUAUUGUUUUAAACGAGUUUAUAUUAACCCGCGCGUUGCAGCGGGAUGUUGAUUA